AAAAGGUUCAUAGUUUGUUUGACUUUCUUACUUCUUUCAUAAAUUUGUCGGAUGAGAAUUUUCGCAGGCAGAGCUUGCAUGCUGUUUUGGCUAUGAAAUCUGCAGAAAAACUUGGCCACUUUUCAGCAAACAACUGUUUUCGAGUGUGCAAAUUGUUCAUCACCUUGUGAGGGUUUGGAUGAGAGCGGCGAUUUGGCGGACGGGCGCGCGUGCUCACCCUAUGUGGCACGUAGGUACAGGUGGAGCAGUGCGGCGCAGGUCAGGGUGGUAUGCGGGAGCAAUGCCAGAAAUAAGUGCGGCCAGAUGUGAGAACGACGUCUCCGUGACCGCGAAUGUAACGGGGGCAAAGUGUACCAGAGGUACACGACGGGGCCUGCACGCCGUGCCGCUAGCGUCCCAGAAAAAGAAAAGAACCAUGGAUGCGUCCAACCUGUACCUAUAGACAGCGUGCCUGGGAGAGUUUCUACGAUGAUGCGGGCAUGGAGGCGGCGCUAGGAACGACUAAUGGUUUCGAGUUCUUAUCUGAUCCGAUGGACAGGUUCACCAUGUCGUCGGCGACCGGGGAA